CAUUGUUUCGGCUGAGUCAAUGUUUUUACAUCCUAGUUGCUGAACGAUGACGGUGUCCCCAUACCAAAAAUAAAGCCAGUAGGUAAGAAUAAGAAAAACUUUAUUUAUCCCCGAAGGAAAAUUCAAUUUUCUGUUGUCUCACAAAAUAUGUCUCUAACAGUUAUCUACUUUUUACACAGGAGUUAUAAAGUCUAAUAGCUGUUGGUACAAAAGAUCUUCUGAAUCUUUCUGUCCUGCAGAGAAGAGAGAGGAGCCGUCCACCACCACCGGCCCUCCGGCCUUCCAGCCCAUCAAGGUGCCGUGAAGCGAGCAAUCCAUGCUCUCUAGAAUAGACGAAGCAUGUGCGUGAUUUUAGCCUGGAUAACAAAAAUACAAAUACUCGUGUUGUGUUAAGUAGUUGCAAGCUUAAGUGAAGCUGACUCUUACCUACAGGAUAUCAAAGUGGGCAUGGGUCAAGCCAGAAGAUGCUUGAAGAAAUGACAAACUCAUCUGUGGAGGUUUGUGAAAUAAGCCUACAGCUGGUUGUUUAACAUGAUCACCUUAUCAUAUCGAACACAAACGCUUAUUUUAAAAAGGGACAUUUUAGCGACAUCUAGCAGUCACAUAUAAACUAAAACACUCCCCCCCUCACCCCACCCCUCUGUAAAGUAACAGUGGCCUUAAUAGACAAAAACCCUUCAAAUGCAUGAUAAGGGAAUCCUCCAGGUCAAAGUGACCACUCAGGUCAAGUUUUUACCAUCAUAAAAUUUCAAUACAAGUGAUUUUUCCCCAACAUCUUUCUCUGUUUUCAUCUAUCAGCUGAUAAACUUCCCACGAACACUCACUCAAUAUAAAAACAUAUAUCUUACCAAUUUGUCUGGUUUCUGCUUCGAGAGAAACACGGUGGUGACCUCUAUCUUCAUCAAUAAAAAUCUUGUCCCAAAUUAACAUAAACGAAACUUUUUUAUUUUUAUUUUGAAAAGAUGAUAUAAUAUAUAUAUAACUGUAACUAGAUAUAACUCUUCCUUGGUUAUAUAACUGGAAAAAGGAAAACUCACAGGCAGUAUGAAACCACACAAAUAAAGAUGUUGAUCUUGUGGAAGCAGCAUGAAGCAAAAGUGGUUUCUGUGUAGAUGUUAGACUGCAGCUCCUGGAUCUAAAGGAUGAAUCAUAAAACUCUGCACCAAACUGUCAUCUAAACCCCACCUGUACCCCUAUUACCAGCAGGAUCAGGAUUUAAAUCCCAGAAUAAAGCUGGCACAGCACUGUUUUGGUCAGGAUGUCAUGUUCAGUCUCAAGGGUCACGUACAGUACACAGUGUAUAAUUCACAUGAAGAGUACUCCAUUAAGAACAUCAGCCUCCAGUUGUUAAAGAUUAUAAUUGUAGAGGCUUGGAGAGAUCCCAGCGGAUGUCUACUCCAAAAGUGAAAUGAAAAUUAUGCCCUUGUUGAACAAACAUCACAUUAAAGCAUUAUUGUCUCCCUACUCUCAGCCUCCCUCGUGCAAAAAACUUGCCACACACUUGUUCUGUAAGUGGUUUAUCAAAGGCAUCCUGGGAAAUUGCUGACAGAAGUCUGCAAAAAUUAGAGAUGUUAUUGGAAAAUAUGACGACCUAAAAGAAAUUCAACACUAAAUAGCAAAAUCCAGUUUCUUCUAAUAUAAAUACAAAUAUUCCACAAUCAAUCUAAUGAUUUUUUUACUUUAUUUCACAUAAACUCCAGGUCAAAUAAAGCUGAAUUUGUGUAAUGCAUGUAUAAAUAUUAAGGACAUUGAUAUCACAUGAGUUAAAAAAAACAGCAAACGUCACAUUUGUACAUUAGUUUGUUCAUUAAAAGAGAUCUUAUUCCAUCAUUUCAGCUCAGCAUCGUCGACAUGGACUGAUAGAAAAAAAAAAACACACUGAUUAAUGUUCCCCAGUGUUUAAUCUCCUGUGUUAAAAAUGCUUCAUUCAUGUGUUUGCCCAGUCAGGCUGGGUAUCUAUUAUACCUUAUCAGGAUUUCUGCCAAACAGAAAAGUUUGGCAGCAGUGAAAAUAAAAAGAUGUCAACAAUUUGGUAUCUGAGACAAACUGAAGCCGAGUCUGGUUAUGUCCAUUGUUCAGUAUCAGCUCUCGGCUCAUUAUUGUGGGGAAAUGUAUUUCAUAACAUAGUUUUCUCCCAGACCUUCGUAGCUUUCACAGCAAUAGUCCUCUGAUAUGGAGGAGAAAAAAAUAUUAUUUCAAUACUGUAUUCAUUUUGCAUUAAACAAGGCAUAUUCAAGACAUGUUUUCAUUCCGUCUCUCUCACAAACACCCGCAAACACACACAUACACACACGUGAACAUAUCCAUAGAGUGAGGCUGAAAAAACAAUUACAGUUUCUCAUUAAGGCACUCCUAAUCCCUUUAUGCAAAACACAGUUACACAAGUAUACACAAUGAGGAAAAAGAGAGAAUGAGGGUGGGGAGGAAAGAGGAGGGAGAGAGGAGAGAAAAAAAAAAUGUAGCACAAAUGCGAGGAGAAUAAUUACAUAUAUCAUGAAGCCGUCCCUUUUAUUUUGGAUGUCACUUCUGAUGUCACUGGCCGGCUUUGGCACUAAUUUGAAUUCAGACCUUUAUCAGUCGCCGGCAGCAGAUUUUGAGUGACAGCGCCACCAAACGCCUCUCGCCAGCCGUCCUAUUGAUUUCUCUAAAUCCCCAACAAUAGCAUUUGCAUGCUUGUUUCUGUUAUAAUACAGAUAUGCCGUUUCGGAAAUUAAAGAGCAGCAGGCAGACCAGAGGUAACUAAUUGUGUGCCUGUGUAAUGAGUGCAGUUUCAAUUUGAUAUAACCCACAGCUUUUCCCCUCGCAGGCCUGCGCUAAGUACUUUCAAGUCUUUGUGGGGAAAUAAUUGAUUUUUGUGCUUUGGGCACAGGGAAAACUAUUAUGAUCUUUUUGAAUAAUGGCAGCGGGAGGAAAGGAGCGUUGAACGAUUUAAAUUGGUAUUAGAGGAGAGGAAGGAAGGGAAGGAGGGCUUGGUGCAAGCAGAGGACUGAUAGCACAGCAGAGUGUUGGAUUUGACUGACAGACGGCAAAUGGCUCCCAGUUUGUUGAUUACUCAUUCUCUUAAGGUGGAAGUGGGGCGAUGUGAGGUGUCGUCGUGGCAUUAAGUAAAGCCAAAAUGAGCCUGACUGGCUGGAUCGCUGGUUUACGGAGAGGAGAAGAUGGAGGAGGGCAGUCAGGGUGGUCUGGCUGGAUCGCUUGUGCCAGAGGCCUGUUAGCAGGCCAAAACAGUGGGUGAAUGAACAAGCACACGGGGUGAGGUUGGCACGCUGUCAUAUAGCUUCAGGCUGCUGUGUGUGAGUUUGUGUGUAGGAGUGAACGGGAAAGUGAAAAUUAAAAGUCAGUGUGCAAAGUCACAGAAAAUGUCGCACUCUGCUGUGGAUGCUUUUAAACCUGUGUCUGUGUUUGCAGAUGUCUUUCACCAUGUGUGUCUGUUUGCACCACAUGCCAACCAGUCUGAUUUAUUUGGUGGAAAUGUGAUUAUUCUGGAUUUUUGUGAGCCACGCUGUCUUUUCUUACAACUGCUAAAUCCUUUUUUCCUCCGUCUAUGCUUUCUCCCUCUCUCUCUCUCCUCCCCUCUCUUCUCUCCUGAGGCUUUGUUUCCUUUGUAACAAAAGUGGGUCUUUUUUUAGUUAAUUCAGCAUGUUCAAAUUUCACACUCUUAAUUGUACAUAGAGAUAAACAGGUUCCCCCUAUUGUGGACACGGGGGGCAGCAGGAGAGGGGGAGAGAGCAGGGGGCUAUACUGGCUUUACUCUCCUGUUUUCAUUUUACACAGUGGAGGGCAACAACUGUGCCAUGUUCUCCUGUCCUUUAAAGCCCACUGGUUCCCCAUUAAAAUUACAGCGACUGCUUUCAAUGGCGUUAUCCAACACUUGAGGCUUCUGAGUGACAGCAAAGUAGAAAAGGAAGAGAGAUGGCCAAAGUGGGAUAAAGUUACUGAGCAAUCUUGUGAAGCAGACACGCCAAUGCACAGCCAACGUAGAAUUUCAAAGUAUUUUGUACAUCAGAUAUAUCACAAAAAAAUCUCAAAUGAAAAUGACAUAACAUUUUGCUAUUCUUGAGAUUUAGUAAAAUUUUGUUAAAAUUCAAUGGAAUAGUAAUAAGGUGAAAUAUUCAAACUACAAUAUCGUCACCUUCUUAAAAUAAUGGCUUAUGUCAUUUUCUAACAAAAAUACUUAUUCAGUCCCUCAUGUUGCUGCCCAUCUCUGGUAGAUUUGCCUAAAUCCUCAAUUGAACAGAUCAUGUGAUACUACCCUUGUAGUAUAAGGACUAUGUAAAGGAUGUGGGUUAGGCCAUUUUCUGAGAGUAUUCAGGAACGUUUCUGAAAACUUGCUCAUUGACUUAAGCCAUUAUUUUAAGAAGGUGACGAUAUUUAGAAAUAAUUGAUUUCCUAACAAUCAGUCUUAGUAACUGAAUAGAUAGCCUUUAAGAUAAUUUUCUAUGGUUUCUAAAUCUAAGUGAUUAUUAUAUACUUAUACAAGUUUCUUGGGGAUUUAUUAAAAAAUUUGUGUUUGGUAAAUUGUGUAUCAAUAAAGAUUAAAUAAACUGACAAAAGUAUAAAAAUGAUCAGUGUCAAACUCUCAAUGUAAAAAGCAAACACUUGGUUGAUUUUACUGCGAUCUUUAAUUAAUUCUGCACUUAGCUCCUUGAAUAGAUAAAAACCUGCUGAGUAUUGAUUUUUACAUCUGUACAUUUGUCUGUGCACUUGUGCUAUGUCUUUUCAGAGCCACAUGAAUACCAAUACACGUAAGCUAGGAGAAGAGGCAGUAAGGAGGGUGAAAGAGGGAGAAACAAAUACAGGGAGAGGGGAGACGGUCGGUGUAGGCGCUGGGGCUGCAGCAGCCAUGUGCAGGUGGCUUUGCUUUGGCCCAUGGCAUCUCCUGUCAAUACAGCCAGAUGUGACGGCUAAAUACACUCAGCAAAGAAUUAGCGGGGUGUGGUGUGACACUGAAUGUAAGUUGUCAGGAUGUGUGUGUGUACGUAUGAGGGAUAGGCUCCUGCAAACAGAAAAGCAGUGUGUGUGCUCCAUGGCUCCCUGCCACCUUGUCCAUCUCAUAAGUCAACACAAACACACAGACAAACACACAAAAAUGCCCACCAUGGAGAGGACCUCUGUGUUGUGCCAGUCACAUUGUUUCUUGAGACCCUCUGUCAAGAGUGUGCAGGGCGGUCUGAGGACCGAAAAAAGAGAGAUGGAGCAAAGGAUAUUAAACAAGGUGGUCAGAUAGUUUAAAAUUAAUAAUGAUUUUUUUUGUAAGAUUAUCAUGUAUUUAAAUAUAGAUAUAUAUUUAUGGAUGUGUAUACUUUAAGCAAAGCUGUUAAUAUUUAAAAUCCCUAUAAUUUAUACUUAAAUUUGUAUAUUUAUCAGAGUUUAAUAUAGACUUCAAAUUGUAAAUUCCUUUUUAUGCACAAAUUCUUAUAUGUAUGGGAACGAAAUUUAAUUAUUGAUAUCCAAUUAUUGGUGCACAUAUUCUUAUUUGUCAAAAACAAAAAUGUUCCUUCACUGUAUCAAAUUUGCUUAAUGUAAUUCAAGUUCUGUUAUCUCAAUAAUUAAAACAUUCAUUGACUUGUUUUACAUGACAUUUAUUCAAGCAAUACAAUGACCCUCCAUCUGCCUGUGUGUGUGUGUGUGUGUGUGUGUGUAUUUCUUGUUUUCAUUCAUCAAGUCUAUUGUUUGAAAUCCCUGAUAAUUUCCAACUAGGUGUCGAAUGCAAUUAAAAAAAAUCAAACCCUGAAAUGUCAUUAAUGCACGGAUAUUUCCUGCUGUACAGACUGUGGCUCAUAAACCAAAGAGAUGCUGUCGAGUCUGUUUGUGACUCUGCACCCAGGUAGAAAUUUGUGUUUGUUUUUUACUCAACGGUGUAUUUAGCAGCACUGACACGACCAAAAAGAGAGAGAGAGGCAAAGUUAUCAUGACGACUGGCUCGACCCAGUGAGACAAUGAAUAGAUUUUACGUCACUGAGAAGAUGUCAAGUGAGAUGACAUACAGUGAAUUAAAUAGUCCGGACAAAUUAUUGUGGCAAUAAACAAAUUUGUGUAUUCGUGUGAGAGCCUAGACCAACAUUUGCAUGAGAAAGUCUAACGUACAGUAUGUUUGUCCCAGCGAGGACAAUACAAAAUGAGCCACUUCAGAGUGUACACAUGUAUGAACGCACACACAAUGCUUGUAACACUUUGUCUCUCCUCCUCCCUCCCUCACUUAUCACCCUCUUUCCAUCAGUCUCCCCAUCUGUCCCUCCCUUUCUAAAUGAACCUCCUCAUGCUCAUUCCAUCUCCCUGCAUGCACCUCUCUUUCUCUCCUCCAUCUCCCGCUCCCUCCUUCUCCCUCUCUCAGGAAAGCGGCAGUGGUUAAUUUAGUUGGUCAUAACUAAUAGCGGCUAAUCUGCGGGCAGGAGUCUGCUGAGGAUAUUGGACAGUGUCGAGGUUAAUCGCAGCCCGCCCGGUUAGUCAAGGCAGACAAGGGAAGGAGAGAGGAGGAGGGUGGAAGAGGAAGAGGUGGAGAAGGAGGAGAAAGAGGAGGAGGAGGGCUUAAUUCCACCGAAGGCAAAUGGCAUGCCGGUUUUUAUCUGGGCCCCUGAUAAGGGAGCGCUAAUACACCGAGGAGAAUGGAUGCUCAAGGGCCGGGUUCCCCUUAUCAGCAAACUUUACAACAGGAGCCCCGGACUAACGGCGCAACCCCCACGCCGUGCACAAUAAGCACCUCAUUUCACCUCUCAAGCAGAACUAUCGCCACACCACCACCACCCACCACCCACCCGCCUUGCUCCUCUCACACGCCUGCAUGCACGUACACACUUACACACGCGUACGCCGCAUCCUCUCCACUUCACUUUUCCCCGGUUGCCAACCCAGCCCACCUCCACCGCCUCAUCCACCACCCAAACCCAUCAAGCCUCGGAACACGCGUUCACACGGACACACUUUUUUUGAAAUAACUUCACGUUUUUUUGUAAAUGAAACACAUUUUCACAGGUGUACACAUUUUCUUGGCACAAACCUUUAUGUGAAGGCUCACAUUUACCUUCAUGUAUACAUUCAGACAUAUACAUGGACACUCACAUUCAUGCGAACAUAAGCUUUAUGUGGACACACACGCACUCCAAUAUGCGCCACUUCCCUCCCUGUCUUUCUGUCUCUGUGCAGCCCUGAGCACACAGCCACCAGGAAUGGGGGAGUAUUAUGAGCGUGGGCUAAUUGGAAGAUCACUCUAAUGCAUUAAGAGAUAAAAUAGUUUGGCUGCGGGCCUGGAGGCAGGAUCAGAACAACAUUGGAGGAAGCUAUCUGGCCCUGUCACACAUUUGCAGAUUUCCAUACUAACGCAGCAAGAGCAAUUACCCCAAACACAGAGCUCAGUUGGCGCUACAACACACUCCCUGCCAGUACCACGGCCCCAGGAAAUUAGAGGAGGUGUGUGUGUGUGUGUCUGUGUGUGUACGAGGGUGUCUGUGAAUACGCUUCAGCAAGGGAAGAAAUUGGCUUAGUGUUGUUUGAUUGUGUAUUUGUUUUCUGGGUAAAAGAGACAGGAAUUGGCUUCAGGAUGAGUUAGGAUUUUUACAGGGUGGCCUGGGGUGUGUCGUCCAAAGGGAGAGAGAGAGAAAGAGGGAAAAAGAGCUGGACAGAUACACAACCACCAAAACAAAGGUAUUUAGACAGUCAGCUAAUCAACAUGGCUAAUAGGGGGACAGGCAUCUGCUUGCUUACACCCUGUCUGUGUUGUUUUUCACAUGCUAAUCACUGUUUGUUAUCACCGACAGUGGGUGGUGAGUGUAUUUGUAUGUGUGUGUGAGUGUGUGUGUGUCUGUGUGUGUGUAGUGUAAUCAUCCUCCGUAUUCUCAGCUUUUUUAAAAUUAGCAACUAAAAUUGAGUGUUAGGACUUCUUUUGAUAGAGUUUUUGUUGAUUUGUGUCAAACUUGAGCAGCUGAGGAACAUUUAUUUGUUCACAGGAAUUAAAAAGACACUUUGUAUAACAGACUAAUAAAGACAAUUGUGAUUGUUUCUUCCAGAUAUUCCUCUGUGAGUAAAGUUGGACUUUACUAUAGUUCUAUUUUACAACUUAUCUUUUUAUUUUAACUGGAUUUGAAUUAACUUUGCCCUGUUUAAGCAACAAAACCGAUUAAUCAAAGACGUACAUAGUGGAUCAUAGCCAACUGACUCUUCUUGGUCUCCUGUAGUCUUGAGUAGCAGGUGUAACAAGUAGAUGCUCCUUACAGCUUUCAGUCGGCCUGGUGAAGCUUGUUUAAAUUGCGCCUGUGCUGGCAUCUGCCUGCAGGGUAAAACAAGGCCUCCCUUGACUCUCUUCAACUAAAAGGAUAACAGGUCACGGCUGAAAAGAGAAGGUGCUUAUGGUCAGAGCGAUUUCAUACCUUAACCAGAACGAGACCGUUUUGGCACGGGGGCACGGGAACACACACAGAGGUCCUGUAUAUCCCCGCUGUAGGGUGGGACAGACACCAGCCCUAAGCGUCCUUUACUAUUGUUGUCUAUGAUUCGCCGUUAAAUCCAAUUUAUCUCAGUUAUGGAAAUGCAUCUCCACCCUGCAGCACAUUGGGAAGGGUUUAUUCAACAUAACCCCUCCAUUUAACCAUUCCUUAUCCCCUUGUUGAUUUGCUUCCAUGGCACAGCUUAGGUUAAUGUAACAGUAGCCUGGGGCUGCAGGGGGAUAGUGCUUCUGUAUUGCUAUAUGAACUGUCUCACUGGAGUUUUGGAUCACUGCUGCAUGUUGCAGUCACACAGUAACUAAAAACUUCAAGUGUCACAUUGCAAUUUUAUCACCAUAGUCUUCAGCUUGGCCAGAGGAAGUAAAUUUAAUAAUACCGUUUUAAAACAAACUUCUCUUUUCAUGGUCUAUAUCCCUGUAUUUUUGGACAAAUCACAUGCUUUAAUGAAAAAAAUUAAAAACAGAGUCACUAUGAAGCGGGUCUUUGUUUUCUUUUCUGCAUCUGUGCUCCUUCUUGUGUUUUUGACUAGACCUCCUUGGCUACAAAAAGUGGAAUACUAGAUUAAGAUAAACAGCAUGCACCAACAGAAAUACAUGCGCUUGCACUCUCCUGAAAUCAAACACAUAGGGGUCAUCAAAACAUCAUGUGACAGUGUAUGUUUUCCCUCUGCCCCCUGUGCAGUUUGCUAAUUGCUCACAGGGUGAUAUGUAACAACUAGAGCAACUCCCGUGGCAGUUUUCAUUUCAAUGGGGGUAAACAAAGGCUCGCUCUGUAGACAUGGGGAGGAGCUGUGUUCGCAUGGGUGGUGGGCGUGGGUAUAAGGCCUAAAUGUGUGUGCGAGUGGAUGCUGAGGUGUAUGAUGAGAUGCAUCACGAGACAAUAAAUAUUCAUUAUCACACCCACAUGAGCCACAGGCACUUUGGUUGUUUUCCACCAUGUGAGCCGAUUGGUUCAGGGUGUCAGUGAAAAGCAGCCAGGCCGAGAUAUCAGAGAUAGACGCUGUCUGAGCAGAGGAUUUCAAAGUGUUAGGAUACGCUGUUACACUUCUAAGACUUCAUCCAUCCAUCUUGCUCGCACACACUCACACAAGGAGACGUUCACACACACAUCAGAUCAAUACAGACUCGGAUGAUGACACUGAGAUGCUCAAUGUGAGGCCAAGAGCUUCUUUUUUUUCUAUCCGUCUGUCUCUGCUCCAACCUCUCUUUCUAUUACCUGUCUACUCCCUUUCUCCUCCUCUCUUUUCCUUGGCUGGCCUCUGCAAUCUUCUCUUCAAACGCUCCAACCCUGGAGCACUGUCUCACCUCCACUUGUCUCCCCCACCACUUCCUAACACCCCACACCCCCCACAAUCCUCUCUUCCUCUGCUCUCCAGCUGCCCCAUCCCUCCUCAUUGUCCCUGUGAAACAAUUGGCAGAUGUAACAUUUAAUUAUGGCGGUAUCUCCUCCGGCGCCAGAGAAGCAUAGCGGACCUAUAACGCCACUCAGAGCGAAGGAGGAGUUGCAUUACAAUUUGCAGUGAAGUGAUUUAUUCGCCGAACAAGGUGGGAGGGGGGAGGAAGGGGGAACCAAACAGGAAAGGUAAUUUCUCGCUACUCGCUACAAAAAGGUCAAAUGCUUUUUAAUGACUGUGUUUUCUGAUAAUGCAGGAUGGAGUACUGCGGCGGCUACGGCGCUGGCGUGGGGGGAGGAGUGGGCCCUGGCAAUAAUAAAGUUGCAGAUUGGUAUCACGUUGCGACUUUUUAAUGGAGUCUUGUGGCUGAGGACUUCAUUUGCAGCAGCGGUAUUCGGCCCCUCGCCUCACCGUGACUGUCACCGUGUGUGAUUUCUCUAUUCCAGCUGCUGCCUGUCGUUGUUGUUUGCCAUCAACCUGGGCCAAUUUUAAAAGAGCAAAUGAAGUGUAGCCCAUUAAAUGUUGCCAUUCACACAGUCGUCGCGGGGUUAUUGAAUGGUGAUUAAACAAGAGAGGGAGAAGAUAUGACCAUGUGAGCAAACUGACAAAGCCACAUAGCUCUGAUACCUGGUAUGCACCGAGGGCAGGAAGAAAAGAGAGAGUAGGCAAAUGAAUAAAAAGCGAAGGGAACCGAUAAGGACAGAAGGGGUGGAGUUAAUUAAUGAAGACCAGUCAUACAGUAGCCUCAGAGCAGAUGUCCAACAUAUUAAAAUAGUCAAACCAAUUUAAAUUCUGAGGCCUUUCAUAGAAAGGUCAAAUAUUUUUAGAUGACUGCAACUCAUUCAGAUUUUUUUAAAUCAACCUUUUCUGAAUCUGUUUAAUUUUUUGUAUUAAUAGUAGAAUUUUUCUGGGUUGGGUUUGGACGGGCAGAGUGCUGUUCAAUGUCAGUGUAAAUAUUAACAACCACUGUCACAUAUUAGUGAAGUAGCAUAGGCCCAGCUGUAUUAGUUGAGAAACUGAGCCAAAAUUGAGUUAUAAUACACAUCUGAUAAAAGUAUUUAGCUUGUAAAUGAGUUGAUCUUCACACAGCUUCUGUAUCAGGAUUCAAUGACUAAAAUGCAGUUAAUUUUAGCUGCAUGGGGCAUGGUGUGUGUACAACGCGUCCUCCACCAUAGCUAUUUUGAAAUUGAUGCCACAAUAUAACAUAGUAUGGAUGCACAGACUGUUUGGCUACUGAGAAGUCCCCCAAAGCUAUGUAUGCACAAAAGACGCGUUUUUAAACUGAUGUGGUUUUAAUUAUAGCUUUGCCUUAUAUUUAACAGCAUGUAGUUUCUAUUUGAAGAAAAGAGUACUAAAUGUGGCACAGAGUCCGCUGAUGGAAUUAUCAGUGUAUUGCUCAACACCCCCCCACACACACACCCCCACCCCCAUCAUCCAACAGCAGAGUCCUGUUUUGAAAAUUACAUAAUUCGCCUUAUUAAUGAGCGUGAAUUGUACUCGACAAUUAGAGAUGGGUGGAAAAUGUUAAGUUGGGUGUAGAGAGAAAUGCUUCCAAUUACACGGCGACACGGGGCCUUGUACCUUCCCAGCCUCCACUAGCGGUAAUUAAAUCCACAAGCUUCUUAACGAGGCAGCCAUGAAAUAAGAGUUGAAGGGUUAAUGCGACUAUCAUUUCUCCCCGCAGAACGACUCCAUGAGUCGGCGCGCGCACGUGCCACACGCGGAAACACACUCGUGGACAUUUGCAUAAACAUGUCCUGAAAUUACACAGUGAAACCUUCAUUCUUUGAUACUUUUCAUCGUUCUCUGAAGGAUAAGGUGCGCAAUAAAAACAAUACACUCCCUAACAUCGCACUAUGACAUUAUUUAGAGCCCAAAUGUGUCAGCUUAAGGUAGUUUCAUGUUUGUUAAAGUAUUAAAAGGCCUCCUCUAGUUUACCUUUAAGAUGAAGUUGAAGCGAGAACUUCCUUUUCCCCAACCUGCUCGGCUCCCUCAUUUCCGUUUUGAUAAUUCCUUUUCUGUGAAAGAGCUAGCCGCGUUUUAACUCAGUCAAAAUUAUUAUACCAUCGAAGAAGAAGAGGAACAGGAAGCCGAGGUGGAGUGUGUUAAGAUGAUGAGGGAGCUGCUGCUGCCCCUCUGUGUCUGCUGCUGCAAGGCCACUCUACUCUCAGCACACUGGAAACGAUUAUGGAUUUAAUAUGCAGGACCUUGAACUAGUCUGUUACGGGAGAUUCACUUUAUAUAGGAAAAGUUAUGGUACAGCCUAUACAGCGAAUAUAAUUUACUUACAUAUGAACUGCAUUAGUUAUAUGACGUUGACAAUAUCGAUGACUAGUACUUCUGAUAUUUCACAGUCAGUCUGCUAGGAUGUCUAACACCACAGCCUGUAUACUUUCCUCGUGUUAUUAUUUUAUUUCUCCGCCCACUGACAUCUGAGGAAGCUCGAGCUCCUGGCUAUUUGAUAAUUUUGUUAACUUUUCACCUCCGUUCAAUAUCCUGUCAAAGCGGCUGAAGGCUGUGCACACCUCGUGCCAUUAUCUGCAACGGCGCGUGGCUUAUUGUAAUGGUUCCCUUCAAUCACGGAAGGAUGUAUUUGAAUUCAUAAUAGCGGCGGAAUCUGCGUCUAAUCUUCGAGCUCGAGCGAGGGGGGAGCGCGCGCGCGGAGUCGCAGUGUGCGGUCACCCCCGCUAAUGGAGGGAUACUGACAGCAGCAGUGUGUGUGUGAGUGUGUGAGCGAGUGAGUGUGUGCGCACGAGUCUGUGUAUGUGUGUCUUUCACUGGCUAAAAAUAUUAGUCUAAAUUCUGAGUUAUUUAAAAUUAUUAUAUUGAUUUUUUAAAAUAUAUAUAUUUGAAAUUAAAUCGAGAAGAAUUGUGAUAAGGUUUCUUUUGGGAAUUUUUCUGUCAUUUUUCCAAGCAGGUGAACUUCCUAUCUAAUUGUUCAGAGUGAUCCGUGAGUAAUUAGAGAAAAUAAUCAGUCAGAUUAGACGAUUUUUUUUGAUAAUAAUCACUAUUUUCCAGUGUAAAGUGAGUAUCCUAGGUCACAAGCACAAUUUUCCUGACAGGCUAUCUGACAUAUUCGGAACAGUCACAUUCCCCUUUCAUAUUAUAGCCAUAUAUAUACGGUCUUUUCUGGCUCUUAAAGAUAGAUGCAUAAUCCGCUGACACAAUGACUUUCCCAUUAUUGUGUUUGGCCACUAUAAUCCUAUGCGCCUGCAGAGGUCAAAUCUCCCAAAAUUCUCCGGUCUUGGCCUUUCACGCUGCGCCGCCAAUUAUUGAUACCUCCUACCAAUGGGCGAUGGGUUUCAUUUGUAUUUCAUUCAUCGUGGAAUGAGCUGAAAAUGUGUCAAAGAGCUGACAUUGUUGAAAACCACCGAUGUGGGGAAACCUCAUCAUUGCUCCGGCCCUCGAGCUUCUCUCGUCCAAUAAUUAAAACACUGUGAAAAUAUCAAUGUCCCGUGAGAAAUGAGCAUACUUUUCUCAAAAAAAUGGGCCACGGACAUAAAAGAUAUAUGAGGCUGUUCACGCUUUUAUAAUUCAGUGAAAGAAAUGGAGUCUGUUCAUGGUAAUGUGAUUUAAAGGUAUUGGUGCUUUCUAAUUUCUGUGGCCUUGAAUAUAUCCGCGGUCGUCGCCCUGCAUGGAGAAUGAACUUGUUAUUGAUGUCAUGUGGAAAUGUCUUUGUACUUACAGUGUGGGUUUAUAUCUGUGUGUGUUAUUAAAGAAAGCCCGGAGUAAAGUAUCCCCCUUGCUCACACACACACACACGCACACACACCCCUUACACGGCACAGUUUCAUUACCUCUGUUUGUUUUGUGGACCUGUAAACAGUGCAGACUGAUCUGGUAUCUGUAGCUCGCAGCCUUUCCCGAGCCAGACACAAACACAUUUCUUUUAAUGAGGCUUCACAAUUGCCUGCUGCACAGUCCUCCACUCCAGACCAUUAAUAUUGUAUUGUUCAUAUCAUGGACUCCUAGGUUACAGCGAGCAUGCAUUUUUCAUUGCGAUAAUCCUUAAUUAUUUUUAUGCACCCUUAAUCUUUCAUAUAGUUUCAGUGUUUUGCUUAAAUAUUUAAUGGCACGAUGAUGCGGCGCGCGUCUUUCAGGACUCUCGGCUCUCUCAGACGAGGGAAGAGGUGGUGCAGAGGAGAGAGAGAGAGAGAGAGAGAGAGAGAGAGAGAGAGAGAGAGAGAUGAGGAAACGGAUUUCAACGCCUCCUCCUCGGUACUGUCUGCUUGAGUGACUAGGCCUCCAGUGGAGACGCAGUUUUAAUUCAUAUCAACACUGACCUCAUUCAAAAUAAUCCUCUCUGCUUUAAUCGCUUCUAUUCCAGAGCUCUAACUCAUUUCUUCAAAUUUAACUGCAGGCGAAAAGAGAUGACACACAGAAACGGGAAUAAGUUUAAAUAAGAAGCAUAUGCAACCUUCAUUUUUACAUUCUUGAAAAUGACACAUAAAUAGUACAACUAUACUACUACUUAUAACACUACUGUGUUCUAUACACAGUACUGUAAUAUACUACUACUAAUUAGUAUUAUUAACAUUAUUAUGUAUAUCAUCAUUAUUAUUGAUUUUUCAUGAUUACAAACAAACUCAGUAGUUAAAAUAGCUCUCUUACUUGCCUUGAACCGCCUUCUUGUGAAGUACAUUUAUCAAGUAUAGGGCAGCCUUUCAAAUGAUUGAGAAAUUAGGAUUGUUCUUCUAAAAAUGUGCAAACACUUUCUCUGAUUCAUUAUCUUCUUUAAAGCUGCUGCUCACCACAAAUUGUUGUUGCUUAAAAAUACUCAAAAACCUCAAAUUAUUUAUAAUUUUAAUGUAAAAUUAUUACCAGCUACUUGCUAGAAUCAUUAUGGUUAUUUAAACAAAUUAUUUUCAAUUUCUUGACUCAUGAAUGAAAUAUGGGAGACUUUCUUUUGUCCUAUCUACUGCAUAAAUUAGAUUUUUUCUUCUCAGAUUCAGAAAAAUUAUAUUUAGAUCCAUAAGAAAAUAAACUGUUUUUGUAAAUGAUCCUCAAUAAAUAAAUAUUUUGGAUAAAAUUUCUAUUUGCUGGGAGAUGCUUUCUCCACAGGAUGAACCCCUUCCCUUUUUUAUCAGCCAGCAGUGAAGGCCUACAGGUCACAGGACCGCUGUUAUGAUUCCUUUGAAUCCUCAAACAGGAUAGGAAAACAUGCUUUAAAAAUAAGAGCUAACAAUGAACACCAACCCCUCCCUCAGAUGUGCACUGAUUAUUGUUUGGAGGACUGAGGCAGUUAUAUAAAACUUACAUCGCACUGUCACUGUAAAAAUCAAGGACUGUUACUGAGUGGUGUUUGAGUUAGUGUGUGUUUCUGUAAUUGUGAUAAAAGAAAUUGCUGAAUCUCUAUUUGUACUUCAUUGGUUAAUUUUAUUCUGAAACAAAAGGCCCACUUGAAUUCAACAACAGGCAGCUUUAGUUCCUAUCACCAUUUAAAACAGUCAGUGUGUUCACAACAAAGCCAGUGAACUUUAUUGUGAAUUUAUUUUAGGUCAAAGGUCAACCUGUAAACUGGAUCUUCUCUUCAGGGCCUCAGUCUGUUGAUGCUGUCAUGGUGAGGGAGUGAUCAUUGUGCCCUCCUGCAGCUGAGUGGCAGAUGGGCAGAGUUGUUGCUGGUUCAAAGGUCCACACUCGGACGUGUUUAUCUCCACACCAACACGGAGGGAGUGUAGUUUAAUUCAAACGUCACACUCAGGAGCCAUUAAUCCCAUCUAGUGAUAUGAUAGGAAGCGAGAUGGGAUAAAUCUCCACCAAUACCAUUAGUGAUAAUGUUACUGUAAUAAUACCUAUGGCUCUGUGGUGCAGUGUGUGUAUAUUUGCUAGUGAGUAUGGGUAGUUGUAUAUAGAGAAGUUCUAAUAAUCUGGUUACAGAUCCAGCCCGAGAUGAUUGAUAGGCUACGAUGAAGCUGAAGUGAUUGAGAGAUUAGGGGAAAGGUCAGAAACUGUUUGCUUAUGAUAAGAGCUCAUCUGUGAGAGGAAAUCAGACAGAAAACCCAAAUGAGACAAAACAAGACAAUUCCUGGUAUCUUUGCAAUGGAUAUUGGUGCUAAGCUUUAAAUCAGUUCAAAAUUCUUGUAUAAACGUCACAUAACCUGCAGAAACAAAGUGGUUUAGUUUAAUCAAUUGAAGGUAUUUUUCCAAAUUUAAAGAGACAUUUUGUAAAAAUGAGUCCAGUGUUGUGUUUCUAUCCUGUUUAAAGCAGUUGGAUCACACAUCAAAGUAGCUUCACUGUUACUAGAAAUUCAGCUCAGCUAUGUCGUUCACUUUGAGCUAUUCCAGCAUUAGAUAUACCACUCAAAUCUUUAACUGACCUCUGUGUUUCUAAAAACUCUCCUGUCACGCUCCUUUAUGAGAUCAGAAUCCUUCUUUUAAAAUGUUUUUGGAUGUCUUUUAUUUUUUUAAUUUGGAGGUAAAAAAAAAAAAAAACAACAUUGUUGACUUUUUACCUUUUUUAUAUAAUUCUUGUAAAUCAGAGCACUGGGUUUCAACAAACCACCAUGACAACAUUUUUUUAAAAUGAUGUGUACCAUGUAUUCCUGUUGUUUUUAUUGCUUGAUCUUUGCUCCCUGUUUACCACAUACAGACAUAAUAAAGGCAACCUUGUUCCAACUGUAUGCAUUAGGUUAAGAUUAGCAUCAUUUUAAAAACGACAAUUUGUAAUGAAACUUCCAAAUUUAAGUAGAAAGAAAUGUAUUUCCACUAAUCCAAGGCAGACAGUUUUCAUUACAGCAAUGGGAAAUCUUGGUCCAGGUCUGUGGUCAGUGUAUGCAUCAGUGUCCUCCUCCUCCUCCUCCUCCUCCUCCUCCUCCUACACCCCUGUUCGUCUUUCCUCUCCCCACCUGUCUCAUUGUUGUAAAGAGACGCUCUCAUCCCUUCUUCCUGAUUCACUUAUGCUCGGUUUUCACUGCUCUUAACUCUCACGCUGAUCUUUACGACCACCCACGUUCCUGCUGUAUCAGCCUGCAUGUUAUGUUUGGUUGAAAACUUGGGCUACAAUCUGAAGCCACUGUUUGACAUAUGUUGAUGGUUAUUGGCAUGCAUUUCAAAUAAGAAAUGGAGACACUUGAAUCAGUAAAACAUAAAUGCUAUUUUAAAGAUUUGAACUCUACGAUACUGAAAAUUUUAUGGAUAGUUCUUAGAUGACAGAUAACUGAUUAUCAGGGUAUAAACACAACCCACGUUGAAUCUUUUCAGGGACAUGACUUCAUCUGGACAACCCUCAGGUAAACAAAGUCUGUAACACCAUCUCGAGGGAGGACAACCAUUCACCCACAGAUCCAGGACUUGUGAUCUUCAAGUUGCAUCCCCAGCCAUGAAGAGCUUUCCUUGGGGGUCUCAAUGGGGUACAGGCCCUGGAUGAUUGUGGCUGGGCUGCUUGUGUAGUGUACAGUUUGUGUAAGAGGAAGAUGGGGGCACCUUUUCUGAGGAAGAAUGGCAAAUAAAAUGGAUGCAAGUAUGGGAGGAGCAG